rnacentral:piRNA from 1 species
CCAUGGACUGAGAGAUGGGGAAC